rnacentral:rRNA from 1 species
CCUUACCUACUCUUGACAUCCAGAGAACUUAGCAGAGAUGCUUUGGUGCCUUCGGGAACUCUGAGACAGGUGCUGCAUGGCUGUCGUCAGCUCGUGUUGUGAAAUGUUGGGUUAAGUCCCGCAACGAGCGCAACCCUUAUCCUUUGUUGCCAGCGGUUNGGCCGGGAACUCAAAGGAGACUGCCAGUGAUAAACUGGAGGAAGGUGGGGAUGACGUCAAGUCAUCAUGGCCCUUACGAGUAGGGCUACACACGUGCUACAAUGGCGCAUACAAAGAGAAGCGACCUCGCGAGAGCAAGCGGACCUCAUAAAGUGCGUCGUAGUCCGGAUUGGAGUCUGCAACUCGACUCCAUGAAGUCGGAAUCGCUAGUAAUCGUGGAU